GUUGUAUGGUUAAGUGACUAAGCGUACACGGUGGAUGCCUUGGCAGUCAGAGGCGAUGAAAGACGUAGUAACUUGCGAUAAGCCCAGAUUAGGUAGUAACAACCAUUUGAGUCUGGGAUUUCUGAAUGGGGAAACCCACGUGCAUAAGCACGUAUCCUUACCUGAAUACAUAGGGUAAGGAGGCGAACCGGGGGAACUGAAACAUCUAAGUACCCCGAGGAAAAGAAAUCAACCGAGAUUCCGAAAGUAGCGGCGAGCGAAAUUGGACUAGCCCUUAAGCUUUACACGCGUUAGACGAACGGUCUGGAAAGUCCGACGAUACAGGGUGAUAGUCCCGUAGUUGACGACGUGUGUUCAGUGAAAUCGAGUAGGGCGGGACACGUGAUAUCCUGUCUGAAUAUGGGGGGACCAUCCUCCAAGGCUAAAUACUACUGACUGACCGAUAGUGAACCAGUACCGUGAGGGAAAGGCGAAAAGAACCCCUGUGAGGGGAGUGAAAUAGAACCUGAAACCGUGUACGUACAAGCAGUAGGAGCAGGCUUUGUCCUGUGACUGCGUACCUUUUGUAUAAUGGGUCAGCGACUUAUAUUCAGUGGCAAGGUUAACCAUCUAGGGGAGCCGUAGGGAAACCGAGUCUUAACUGGGCGUUCAGUCUCUGGAUAUAGACCCGAAACCAGGUGAUCUAGCCAUGGGCAGGUUGAAGGUUGAGUAACAUCAACUGGAGGACCGAACCGACUAAUGUUGAAAAAUUAGCGGAUGACUUGUGGCUAGGGGUGAAAGGCCAAUCAAACCUGGAGAUAGCUGGUUCUCCCCGAAAGCUAUUUAGGUAGCGCCUCGGACGAAUACUACUGGGGGUAGAGCACUGUUAAGGCUAGGGGGUCAUCCCGACUUACCAACCCUUUGCAAACUCCGAAUACCAGUAAGUACUAUCCGGGAGACACACGGCGGGUGCUAACGUCCGUCGUGGAGAGGGAAACAACCCAGACCGCCAGCUAAGGUCCCAAAUUACUACUAAGUGGGAAACGAUGUGGGAAGGCUCAGACAGCCAGGAUGUUGGCUUAGAAGCAGCCAUCAUUUAAAGAAAGCGUAAUAGCUCACUGGUCGAGUCGGCCUGCGCGGAAGAUGUAACGGGGCUAAGUAGUAAACCGAAGCUGCGGCAAUGUGCUUUUGCACAUUGGGUAGGGGAGCGUUCUGUAAGCGGUUGAAGGUGUGUGGUAACGCAUGCUGGACGUAUCAGAAGUGCGAAUGCUGACAUGAGUAACGAUAAAGGGGGUGAAAAACCUCCUCGCCGGAAGACCAAGGGUUCCUGUCCAACGUUAAUCGGGGCAGGGUAAGUCGACCCCUAAGGCGAGGCCGAAAGGCGUAGUCGAUGGGAAACGGGUUAAUAUUCCCGUACUUCUUACAAUUGCGAUGGGGGGACGGAGAAGGCUAGGUGGGCCUGGCGACGGUUGUCCAGGUUCAAGUGCGUAGGCUUAAGAGUUAGGUAAAUCCGGCUCUUUCUAAGGCUGAGACACGACGUCGAGCACCUACGGGUGUGAAGUCAUUGAUGCCAUGCUUCCAGGAAAAGCCUCUAAGCUUCAGAUUGUAAGGAAUCGUACCCCAAACCGACACAGGUGGUCGGGUAGAGAAUACCAAGGCGCUUGAGAGAACUCGGGUGAAGGAACUAGGCAAAAUGGUACCGUAACUUCGGGAGAAGGUACGCUCUUGAUGGUGAAGUCCCUCGCGGAUGGAGCUGACGAGAGUCGCAGAUACCAGGUGGCUGCAACUGUUUAUUAAAAACACAGCACUGUGCAAAAUCGUAAGAUGACGUAUACGGUGUGACGCCUGCCCGGUGCCGGAAGGUUAAUUGAUGGGGUUAGACUUCGGUCGAAGCUCUUGAUCGAAGCCCCGGUAAACGGCGGCCGUAACUAUAACGGUCCUAAGGUAGCGAAAUUCCUUGUCGGGUAAGUUCCGACCUGCACGAAUGGCGUAAUGAUGGCCACGCUGUCUCCACCCGAGACUCAGUGAAAUUGAAAUCGCUGUGAAGAUGCAGUGUACCCGCGGCUAGACGGAAAGACCCCGUGAACCUUUACUACAGCUUGGCACUGAACAUUGACCCUACAUGUGUAGGAUAGGUGGGAGGCUUUGAAGCACGUACGCCAGUAUGUGUGGAGCCGUCCUUGAAAUACCACCCUUGUAGUGUUGAUGUUCUAACGUCGACCCCUUAUCGGGGUUGCGGACAGUGCCUGGUGGGUAGUUUGACUGGGGCGGUCUCCUCCCAAAGAGUAACGGAGGAGCACGAAGGUGGGCUAAUCACGGUUGGACAUCGUGAGGUUAGUGCAAUGGCAUAAGCCCGCUUGACUGCGAGAAUGACAAUUCGAGCAGGUGCGAAAGCAGGUCAUAGUGAUCCGGUGGUUCUGAAUGGAAGGGCCAUCGCUCAACGGAUAAAAGGUACUCCGGGGAUAACAGGCUGAUACCGCCCAAGAGUUCAUAUCGACGGCGGUGUUUGGCACCUCGAUGUCGGCUCAUCACAUCCUGGGGCUGAAGUCGGUCCCAAGGGUAUGGCUGUUCGCCAUUUAAAGUGGUACGCGAGCUGGGUUUAGAACGUCGUGAGACAGUUCGGUCCCUAUCUGCCGUGGGCGUUGGAAGAUUGAAGGGGGCUGCUCCUAGUACGAGAGGACCGGAGUGGACGAACCUCUGGUGUUCGGGUUGUGUCGCCAGACGCAUUGCCCGGUAGCUAAGUUCGGAAUCGAUAACCGCUGAAAGCAUCUAAGCGGGAAGCGAGCCCUGAGAUGAGUCUUCCCUGAUACUUUAAGUAUCCUAAAGGGUUGUCGGAGACUACGACGUUGAUAGGUCAGGUGUGUAAGUGCUGUGAGGCAUUGAGCUAACUGAUACUAAUUGCCCGUGAGGCUUAACCAUACAACACCCAAGGGGUUU
rnacentral:rRNA from 1 species